rnacentral:rRNA from 1 species
GACGAACGCUGGCGGCGUGCCUAACACAUGCAAGUCGAACGGAGUUAAGUGCUUCGGCAUUUAACUUAGUGGCGAACGGGUGAGUAACGCGUGAGAAACCUGCCUUUCAGUGGGGGACAACAGUUGGAAACGACUGAUAAUACCGCAUGACAUGUUUUCUCCGCAUGAGGAAAACAUCAAAUGAUUUUUCGCUGAAAGAUGGGCUCGCGUCCGAUUAGGUAGUUGGUGAGGCAACGGCUCACCAAGCCGACGAUCGGUAGCCGGACUGAGAGGUCGAUCGGCCACAUUGGGACUGAGACACGGCCCAG